UUUCUUGAUAUUCACAUAUUCAGUGAUACGAAGCUUCAUCAUGUUUUUAGUACUAUGGGUUUACCUUUUACUCGUAUUAGUUUUGAUAUCAAUGAAUAUGAUUUAUGUUCAGGAAAACUUGGGAAUUUUAUCUUUUGGGUUUACAAGAUCACUUUACUACUCUCUAUUUCUUGAUAAAAGGAUGGCUAAACUUUGUAAAAUUGCGUGUCUGAUUACAAUUGUCUUCUCGGCAAUUCUGGCAUUCCGGGCUUCGGCCUUCACGGACAAUUCCUAUUGUACACAUUCCAAACUCUUAGAGAUCUGUUCAGGUCCCUGAACAGCCCACCGCAGCUUAAGGAAUGGAAAUUGGAAGGUGGAGAUCCUUGCGAAGAAUCAUUGACUGGAGUUUCGUGCUUUGGAUCAUCAGUAAUCCACCUUAAACUCCAUAGCCUAGAGCUCACUGGAACUCUUGGAUUUGACCUCUCCAAUCUACAAAGUUUGAAGCAGAUUAAGUAAAUUCUCAUUAAUUACAUUGCUUACUUCAGUAUAUAGUGCCCUACCUUGUCUGCUUCCCACUUCUAUGCAUUUAUUUCUACUAGGGACCUUAGCUCAAAUCACAUUCAUGGAGAUAUCCCCUACUUUGUACUUCCUAUAUCACACAGCUGAACUUGUCUAGGAAUAACUUUAGCCAAAGCAUUCUCCUUAGUUUACAGGAAACAUCUCCGGCAUCUGAAUCUGAGCCACAACACUUUAUCUGGACCCUUCGGGGAUGUGUUCAAUGGCCUGGAGAAUCUAAUAGAAAUGGAUUUAUCGUUCAAUAAAUUCACUGGAGAUCUACUUACCUCAUUCAGAACUUUGACAGACCAUACAAGAUUUUGAGUUUUUGUUUCUGAUUAAUUAUGACAUGGGUUGUCAGUUCCCAACUACAAGAUUUUAUUGCAGGUUCUUGCAGGGAAAUGAAUUUACUGGAUCAGUAACAUUAUUGGCCGAUCACCCACUAUCUGACUUGAAUAUUGAAGAUAACCAUUUCAGUGGUCUUAUUCCAGAAAGUUUCAUGCUAUACAAAAACUUGUGGAUUGGGGGAAAUACAUUCAACAACAAUGGACCAAAAUAUCCCCCCCGGAAUUUUCCUUUUGAAACUUGCCAAACGAGCAGAAUAUUACUAGUCCACCAUCUACAAAUUUAAGUGCCAUUGAGAGCUAUCCUUCUCACAAUGUAGGACGGCAGAAGAAGAAAGGGCUGGGUGAGCAGGAGUGUUCUGAUAAUUGGAGGCGGCACUCUGAUUGCUGCAUGUGCAGCUCUCUUCCUCUUGAUUCGCAUUCAUCGAUCUCAUAGGGAAAUCCUCAAAAGCUUAGGUAGCAGUGGAGGUUCAACGAAAUCCCCACCAAUCAGCUUAGUCAGAGAAUAGAUUACUCGUCCAUGACUGCAGAGGAUGGCACACAUGUAUCAUCUUUCAGUUCUCCUCCGAUGAUUACACCCUCUCUUUUGCCUUCUAUAUGUUCCAAAAUGAUGAAAGUAUCGAAAAGAAAAAGCUUCUCUAAGAACAAAAUAUCAAUGGGUGCAAAAAUGUACUCCUAAGAGCUUCAAACUGCAACAAACAGCUUCAGUGACGGAAACCUUCUUGGAGAGGGAUCCCUUGUGAUGCAGGAGGAUCCGAGUCGAGGGAUGCUGAUUUGUCAGAUAGCACGAUGAUGGCACUGAGAUACCAUGAGAUGGCGGAUCGGCGCAAAGAUGGAAAGUAAAUCUUGUCACUUUGUCAUUGUCGCAAUAUCUCUCUAGUUUUGGCACUUUGCCCAAUAAGAUGGUAAACUUUCAUUGAGGCCAUCUGUAAGUCCUCGUACCUCAGAUCAUCAACAAAGCAUUCUUUUCUACUGUCUACAAUCAAUUCGCAUCUUGGAGGCAAUUCAUAAUCAUUCCUUCGUAUUCUAAUUCCUCGCUUCAGUAGCUUCUAGCCUAUGACAUUACCAUACUUGUUAAAGUCCAUGCCUUGUACAAAUAUUUAUGCCUGCACUUGCAGGACCAAUGUCACGCCUCAUCCUACGAAGAAAGCUACAUGACUGCCAGUUAAGCAAAGAUGAAGUAAGAGGUCACAUAAGGUCCACACUCAGCUCCACCUCGCCCCUCACGUCUGUACGAGGUGGUUGGGUGCCUCUUAUAAAGUGAUAUUACUUCAUUAGAAGUGGUCUUUCUGAGGUGAGAUGACACUCCUACUACCAUAUAAUUUCAAGGUGGUUGGCAAUGGGUAGGGUGGUUGGGUAGCUCUUUCGAAUUUAAAGCACUUCAUUCGAAGUUUGAAUAAUUUCUUCAACGCGGAUUAUAUGUGUAAAAGUUAGGAUUGUUCUAUUGCCUCUGGAAAUUCUAUGCAUAACCUACCUCCUUAAGCUGAAUUAUUUAAGUAGGAGCUAAUGGAAAGCUUGGAGUAGUGUGAUUUUCCCUGCAACCUUCACAUGCCACUGUAGGUUAGUGCACCAUGUGCAUUGUCUGAGUGAGGCUGUCCAGCUUUUUUGUCAAUAUCUCCAUUUGGGCUGUUAGAGCUGUUAUUCCAUCAAUAUUAUGCAAUCCUAUUGUUUUCUUAGAUGUCUCCCUGUCAAAUGGUAACAUAUUGAUUUUCUGCUAUUUUGUCAUAUACCUCAUAUGCAUUGUCUAUGAGCAUCUUCAUCAUUGAUUAAUCUGCUGAAGCAUAAAAAAUGUUACGGUAUUCAAGAUCAAGUCUGAAUAGAAAAGGUAGACUUGGACCUGUCUGAGAAUGUCUAAAUUGGGACGUUUUCUAAAAUAAUGCUUGAUUCUUUUUCAUAGCUUUGAAUAGUUCUUGAGAUCCCUUUGUUUGAAAGCAUAUAUUUCGUCUCUGAUGAUAUGAACACGAGAAAAUGGGAAGAAAUUUUUUGCAAAUUUCUGCACAUAUUAUUCCAAGAAACAAUGAUCCUCGGGUGAUAUACAAUGGUUGGUUGCACUGGAGCUAGAACGAAAUAUCAUAAUUCCCUACUAAUGUUUUGCCAUCGUCAGCAGCGAUUGCUCUUGGUGGAGCUAGCUAUACUGACAGAACUGGUUGUAACUGAUGUUGGUAUUAAUUUUCAUUUGUUGCCAUCUCUGUUUUCCUUUCUUUCUCAAAUCUCUGUUCCCUUCUUUGCCUGAAGGUCAUUUCGAUUUUGGGAUCCAACUGUAGAAGCUCGAUUUCGACAGGUGAAUU